rnacentral:rRNA from 1 species
CCUACGGGAGGCAGCAGUGGGGGAUAUUGCACAAUGGGGGGAACUCUGAUGCAGCGACGUCGCGUGGGUGAAGAAGCGCCUCGGCGCGUAAAGCUCUGUCAGCAGGGAAGAAAAUGACGGUACCUGAAGAAGAAGCUCCGUCUAACUACGUGCCAGCAGCCGCGGUAAUACGUAGGGGGCAAGCGUUAUCCGGAUUUACUGGGUGUAAUGGGGGCGCAGACGGCGAUGCAAGCCAGGAGUGAAAGGCCGGGGCUCAACCCCGGGACUGCUCUUGGAACUGCGUGGCUGGAGUGCAGGAGGGGCAGGCGGAAUUCAUGGUGUAGCGGUGAAAUGCGUAGAGAUCAGAAAGAACACCGAUUGCGAAGGCGGCCUACUGGACUACAACUGACGUUGAGGCCCGAAAGCGUGGGGAGCAAACAGGAUUAGAUACCCCAGUAGUC